UCUAGUAUAAGCAAUUAUACAGCGAAACUGCGAAUGGCUCAUUAUAUAAGUUAUCGUUUAUUUGAUAGUGCCUUACUACUUGGAUAACCGUGGUAAUUCUAGAGCUAAUACAUGCUGAAAGCCCCGACUCACGGAGGGGCGUAUUUAUUAGAUUAAAAACCAAUGCCCUUCGGGGCUCCUUGGUGAUUCAUGAUAACUUCUCGAAUCGCACGGCCUUGCGCCGGCGAUGGUUCAUUCAAAUUUCUUCCCUAUCAACUUUCGAUGUUUGGGUAGUGGCCAAACAUGGUGGCAACGGGUAACGGAGGGUUAGGGCUCGACCCCGGAGAAGGAGCCUGAGAAACGGCUCCUACAUCCAAGGAAGGCAGCAGGCGCGCAAAUUACCCAAUCCCGACUCGGGGAGGUAGUGACAAUAAAUACUGAUGCAGGGCUCUUUAGGGUCUUGCAAUUGGAAUGAGUACAAUUUAAAUCCCUUAACGAGGAACAAUUGGAGGGCAAGUCUGGUGCCAGCAGCCGCGGUAACUCCAGCUCCAAUAGCGUAUAUUAAAGUUGUUGUGGUUAAAAAGCUCGUAGUUGAACCUUGGGCCUGGCCGUCCGGUCCGCCUCACCGCGUGCACUGGCACGGCCGGGCCUUCCCACCGCGGAAUCGCAUGCCCUUUACUGGGCGUGUCGGGGAAGCGGUACUUUUACUGUGAAAAAAUUAGAGUGCUCUAAGCAGGCCUAUGCUCGAAUACAUUAGCAUGGAAUAAUAGAAUAGGACAGGCGUUCUAUUUUGUUGGUUUCUAGGACGUCUGUAAUGAUUAACAGAAACAAUCGGGGGCGUCAGUAUUGCAUCGUCAGAGGUGAAAUUCUUAGAUCGACGCAAGACUAACUACUGCGAAAGCAUUCGCCAAGGGUGUUUUCAUUAAUCAGGAACGAAAGUUAGGGGAUCGAAGACGAUCAGAUACCGUCGUAGUCUUAACCAUAAACUAUGCCGACUAGGGAUCGGGCGGUGUUAAUUUUUGACCCGCUCGGCACCUUACGAGAAAUCUUAAGUGCUUGGCUCCAGGGAG
rnacentral:rRNA from 1 species